UGGGAGGGAUCAUGGAAAUGGAAAUGAAGGGCCUCUCCCAAACACACUCAUCUCCCUGGAGAUGCUCACCAGAAAGGCAUCAUUGUUUUUGGAAACUUGCAACUGGGGCAAAGUUUUUCAAACUAUGAUUAGCUCCCCAGUGUGCACUGUCACUGUUACUACAGGUGACAUGAUAACUGCAGCCCUGUGGGGAGGUGAGGUCACAGGAUCACAAAGCAUAUCUCUCAGACCUGGCUGCCCCCUCCCACACACUCACUGGCUGUGCUGACCUGAUUGUGAUCCCUGAGCCCAUCAGCACUGGAAGAAACUCAGAUUGUUUGAGGCUGGAAACUGAACCAGUACAACAUUCAUGCAAGAAGGAGGAAAGAAUGACUGAGUUAUAGGUUGAACUUAUGGAAAAGGAUGGAGGUCAAGACCAUAAACCAGUCGGAGGAAGUGGCACCAUUUCUAGGAUGGGUAGAGGUGUUUCUACAAUACCUUCAUGGCUGUGAUAAUGUAUAAGAGGUUUAACCACCACUAUGAUCACUCACAUAGGAGAGAGUGUGUGCACCCCAGACCCAGACCCUGCCCUCAUAGGAUUUAUCACAUGCAAUGAUCUAAAUGAGCCUGUUCUGAAGAGAUAGGCUGGAUGGAUCCAUCGUUCUGAAUUUCGGAAAGUGAAUCUGUGGUGAAAACUGAUCAUGGAGGAGCUGAGGACAAGGCCUCACAGCAUGAAGGUCACGAUCCCCCUUUUUUAGAGUGACAACUCCCGGUUUGAAAUAAUCAAGGAAGAAUUUUUGAGA